rnacentral:tRNA from 1 species
GGGACGUUAGCUCAGUUGGUUAGUCUCGUCAAAGCCUUGACGAGCAAGAGGUCACUGGUUCGAUUCCAGUACGUCCCA